rnacentral:rRNA from 1 species
GACGAACGCUGGCGGCGCGCCUAAUACAUGCAAGUCGAACGAGCACGGACUUCGGUCCACAUGUGCGAGUGGCGAACGGGUGAGUAACACGUGAGAAACCUGCCUCGGAGACCGGGACAACCGUUGGAAACGACGGCUAAUACCGGAUGCCCUCUUCUGGUCGCAUGGCCGGAUGAGGAAACGAUCCGUCGCUCCGGGAGGGUCUCGCGGCCUAUCAGCUUGUUGGUGAGGUAACGGCUCACCAAGGCAUCGACGGGUAGCUGGUCUGAGAGGACGAUCAGCCACACUGGGACUGAGACACGGCCCAGACUCCUACGGGAGGCAGCAGUAGGGAAUCUUGCACAAUGGGCGAAAGCCUGAUGCAGCGACGCCGCGUGGGGGAUGAAGGCCUUCGGGUUGUAAACCCCUUUCAGUAGGGACGAAAAUGACGGUACCUACAGAAGAAGCUCCGGCCAACUACGUG